UUUAUCACCAGCCAUAUUUGCUGAUAAAAAAAAAAACAUUUAUUUCCAAUAAGCUAGUUACCUAAUUAAUUAUGGGACCAAUUAGCUUGUAUAUGCUGAAGUAUAUACAAGGCAUACAUCUCAAACUGUGAAAGAGUACUGUGGGGGAGCUCCACCUUGUUGGAAAUACAAAUGAAAUACAUUUAAAAUAGUUUGUGAUACCAUUUGAAAUAAUGUAUGAGGCAACCAUUUGACCUACCAAAUUUCAAGUUGAUAAAAUGUCUUAUUACUACACAUUUUUGCCUUCUAGUUCCUUAUACAUCAAUAUUUUUGAUUUUUAUAGGAGUUAUUUAAGCAACAAACUAACAUAAAACUAAUAAAAAACAGUAGGACAAGCAAUUAUUAAUAACAGCAACUAUUAUUGGUUUUAAAUUUAAAAAUAAGAUAAGCACCAGUUAUCAGAAAAUAAAUACAAAAGGAGUAAAUAGUUGACAUACCACAAAUAUGUCAUUAAACCUCAAAUAUGUAAUUGAACUAGUUACAGAUUGAUCCUGAACAAGUAACAAAACAUCUGCGAACAGCAAGAUUUCAAACUAGAAGUUCAGGACUGGUCACUGUGAACACUCUUUUUAACAAUGUGCAUUUGGAGCGAGAAAAGAUUACUUACCCCGUCGCUUUGAAGCCGUUUUCUCAUUAAAAACAGGAAUAAGAAGCCGGAAUUCCUUGAAAAUGAGAAUUAAAAGUGCUAAAACUUCAGAAAAACAUCAAACAUAAAGCCAACGUUUAGCUAUCUUCUCCUGUCAAAAUGGACCGGGCGAACUGCUGACUUGCUGUCUGUCAAGUGUCAAAACUGCUCGCAUCUGCCGACAAAGGUAGGUCUUCCAACCAGGCGGUAAAAGAAUCUCACCAAUAUAGCAACACUCAAGUUUUUUACUCAGCCAAGUAGCAACGAAAAUCAAUUUAACUUUAAAUCGCAUUCACCUAAAAUAGUUAGCUUAUUUUAAAGAAAAUGAAACUAAAAAAAAUUAUUUGAAUAAUGAAUUGACAGAUGGAUAAAUAGAAAAUUUAAUUUUUAUUUUGGUUAAAGCCAUGUGAUACUUUCGGGUAUGAUUCGCGUCACUCUAAACUAAAAGCAAAAGCAGUUAUAUUUGAAUUGUUUAUUAAUAAUCAUACAAAAAAAGAUAGAUACAGGUCCACUUUAAUACAUGCAUUCAUUUAUUAUGACUGGUGGCGGAGCCCUACCGGAGGUUUCGCGGAGCACACUUUGAGUAACGCUGGAUAGGCAAAUUUAAUAACAUAAAAAUUGCUUUUUCUUCUUAAAAAUUCUUUAACCUGAAUCUUAAUGAUGUAAAAAAAAAUUAAAAACAAAGGCCUAAAUAGAAUGUCUGUAGAAUUCAUUAAUUUUCAAGCGGCAAAUAACUUUGUAAAAAAUAAAACUUUACUCAAUAAAGGCUAUAAAAUA